rnacentral:lncRNA from 1 species
ACAAGUUGGGAUAACCUUAUUUGUGUUCAGCUUGAUAUAGCUCAAAUAUAUAUAUACACAUACCUAGACGUAACAGACACUGAUACGAAAUACGAGACACGACACGACUCAGACAUCAUGACUGAGCAACUUUUAAAAAAUUAGAACACGGACACAGCAUGAACACUGCUAAUAAAAUAUAAUUUUAUUAAUAUAAUAAUAUAUUUUUAUUAGAUAUAAAAUAUUAAUUUUUAUAAAAUAUUAUUAUAUUUCUCAUGCGAAUUAAAGUUUUCUUUUAGAGCUAGGUAGCACGCUACUCGCUUCGUUUAUUUCAUUUAGAAAUAAACUUAGCUGAAAAUAUGAAUCAACUAGAAUUCGAAUUUGGGUUUCGGAUACCAACCACCAAGCCCUUUGCCAUUUGCUUCAGAGACAGUUAGUCAUGCGAAUGAAAAUUAGUAAAAUUUUUAUUGAUAGUUCAUAUAUUAAAAAAAAAAUUUCUCUGCCAUAAAUAAUUUAUUUAUAUUGUCAAAAAGAAAUUAUAUGCAUUCAUCGAUACAUUCAUCAAAAAACUAAAAUAUUUAUCAUGUUAUAUUAUAUAUGCAUAGAAAAAGUAAACUAAAAAUAGAUAUAUAUUUUUUUUAAUUGUACGGGCUGUGAAUCAGCAUUAAAUCGGCGUCCAAGGAGUGUCGACAUUGGACACGCGUCCGACACGGACAUGCGAGGUUUACAGAAAUGUCUGUGAUUCAGAGACACACACAUAUACAUGAAUAGUGCUUCUAUAUUUGUUAUUUUUUAUACUGUUCAUUCAUUUCUAUUCAACGGUUAAGAUUUAACAUUUUUAAAAUUAUGACUGCAAUAACAGAUCAUUUUGAGAGAGGUAUUGAUUACUAGAUAUCCCAAAAAAUAAUAUUUUGGCUUUUUAAUAUAUGGGUAAUUUAGUAAUUUUAUCUCCAUUACAUUAUCAAAUCUUUAUUCUUUCAUUGCUUUUCUUUUUCUCUCUCUAUCUUUCCUCCUCAUCCAUAAUAGAGAUAUAAAGGGGUAGGAUUUAGGACGAAUUUUCAAAAAUUCAAACCUGAACCCGAUUGUCAAACUUGAACCGAACACGAAUCCAAAUCCAACGAAUUUUAGAAAAUCAUAUCCAAAGUACCUGACUAAAAAUUUGAAUUCCGAACCCUAGCCCGAACUUGAAUAUCCGAAUCUAAAACAUUUAUUUCUUUUUACAAUAUUUUAAAAUAUAUUAAAUUAAAUCUAAAUUUUUAAAAUAUAUAUUCAAAUAUAACAUCAAAUAUUUAUAUAUAGAGUUGAACUACUAUACUAUUAAUAGUAUUUGCCCCCUUUUGCUAUCAAGUUUUUAGCUUUUGGAUCACUUCCUUUGAUCAUUUCUAUCUAUUGGAUUAAAUAUUAUAACCCAGUGGGGACCACUCAAUCCUAGGGGGACCACUCAACCGGUCAACCCUAAGGGACUAAUAUCAUCCUAAGCCUAUAUUUCUUAUCCAAGAAUUAAAAACUUGAUAGCAAAAAAAUUAAAUACUAUCAAUAGUUUUUCUAGCCCAACUCUUUAUAUAUAUUGUAUAUAACAUAAAAUAAAUUUGGGUUUCGGUCAGUUUCGGUUUCGGAUCAGAUACAAUAAAAAUCCAUACCCAAAUUCAAAUCCGUCGAAUUUUUGUUUUUAUAUUCAUAUCCAAAACUAUAUCCAUUUAGUAUAGAUAAAUCCACUGUAUUUGCUUUCGGAUUUGAGUUCGGAUUUAGAUAAAAUUAUAGGUAUCCGUAUCUAUUAACAUCCGUAAUUCACAGAUAUUUUGUCAUUUCAUAUCCGCAAUCCACAGAUAUUUCAUUAAAAAAUAUUACAACAUAUUAAAUACGUUGAAUUUAAAUUUUUUUUCAUCUACAUUCAAUUUUUUUUAAGUUAUUCAAAUUUGUUUAAGUUUGAGGUAAAAGAUUAAUAUCUAAAGAGAGGAAUUUAAAAGUUUCUUAAACAAAUUAAACAUAUUGAACUCGUUAUUAUCAAUAUUAAAUUUGUUAAAAUAGUAACACAAAAAUUUUUUAUUUCAAUUAAAAUUUUAAAUUUAAAUAUUAAAUAUUUAAAUUCAACAUAUUUAGAAAUAUUAACAUUUCUAAAAUUUAAAUUAAUACCUAAAUUAGAAGAAUUUAAAAAUUUCUAAAAUUAAU